rnacentral:rRNA from 1 species
GAAUCACGCGUGAGCGGCGUGCCUCAGACAUGCAAGUCGAACGUGAAAGCCCCUUCGGGGGCAAGUAGAGUGGCGCACGGGUGAGUAACACGUAGGUAAUCUACCUUCGGAUGGGGAAUAACAACCGGAAACGGUUGCUAAUACCGCAUAAUGCAGCGGCACCUAAUGGUGACAGUUGUUAAAGCGGGGGAUCGAAAGACCUCGCGUCUGAAGAGGAGCCUGCGGCGGAUUAGCUAGUUGGUGAGGUAAUGGCUCACCGAGGCAACGAUCCGUAACCGGCCUGAGAGGGCGGUCGGUCACACUGACACUGACAUACGGGUCAGACUCCUACGGGAGGCAGCAGUCGGGAAUUUUGGGCAAUGGGCGAAAGCCUGACCCAGCAACGCCGCGUGAAGGAUGAAAUCCCUCGGGAUGUAAACUUCGCAAGAACGGGAAGAAUAAGUCGGUGCUAACACCACCGCCGAUGACGGUACCGUUUGUAAGCUCCGGCUAACUCCGUGCCAGCAGCCGCGGUAAUACGGGGGGAGCAAGCGUUGUUCGGAUUUACUGGGCGUAAAGGGCGCGUAGGCGGCCACCGCAAGUCAAUUGUGAAGUCUCCGGGCUUAACUCGGAAAGGUCAACUGAUACUGCGGGGCUAGAGUGCAGAAGGGGCAACUGGAAUUCUCGGUGUAGCGGUGAAAUGCGUAGAUAUCGAGAGGAACACCUGCGGCGAAGGCGGGUUGCUGGGCUGACACUGACGCUGAUGCGCGAAAGCUAGGGGAGCGAACGGGAUUAGAUACCCCGGUAGUCCUAGCCUUAAACGAUGAAUGCUUGGUGUCUGGGGUUUUAAAGUCCCCGGGUGCCGUCGCUAACGCUUUAAGCAUUCCGCCUGGGGAGUACGGUCGCAAGACUGAAACUCAAAGGAAUUGACGGGGACCCGCACAAGCGGUGGAGCAUGUGGUUUAAUUCGACGCAACGCGAAGAACCUUACCUGGGCUAGAAUGCCCGUGACAGCCCCAGAGAUGGGGUCUCCUGGGUAAAACCAGGCACGGUGCAAGGUGCUGCAUGGCUGUCGUCAGCUCGUGUCGUGAGAUGUUGGGUUAAGUCCCGCAACGAGCGCAACCCUUGUCCUAUGUUGCCAGCGGUUCAAGCCGGGGACUCAUAGGAGACUGCCGGGGUCAACUCGGAGGAAGGUGGGGACGACGUCAAGUCAUCAUGGCCCUUAUGUCCUGGGCUGCAAACAUGCUACAAUGGCCGGUACAGAGGGCUGCAAACCCGCGAGGGGGAGCCAAUCCCAAAAAGCCGGUCUCAGUUCGGAUCGGGGUCUGCAACUCGACCC